AGGGAUCAUUACCGAGUUUACAACUCCCAAACCCCUGUGAACAUACCACUUGUUGCCUCGGCGGAUCAGCCCGCUCCCGGUAAAACGGGACGGCCCGCCAGAGGACCCCUAAACUCUGUUUCUAUAUGUAACUUCUGAGUAAAACCAUAAAUAAAUCAAAACUUUCAACAACGGAUCUCUUGGUUCUGGCAUCGAUGAAGAACGCAGCAAAAUGCGAUAAGUAAUGUGAAUUGCAGAAUUCAGUGAAUCAUCGAAUCUUUGAACGCACAUUGCGCCCGCCAGUAUUCUGGCGGGCAUGCCUGUUCGAGCGUCAUUUCAACCCUCAAGCACAGCUUGGUGUUGGGACUCGCGUUAAUUCGCGUUCCUCAAAUUGAUUGGCGGUCACGUCGAGCUUCCAUAGCGUAGUAGUAAAACCCUCGUUACUGAUAAUCGUCGCGGCCACGCCGUUAAACCCCAACUUCUGAAUGUUGACCUCGGAUCAGGUAGGAAUACCCGCUGAACUUAA
rnacentral:rRNA from 1 species